rnacentral:tRNA from 1 species
AGGCGCGUAGCUCAGUGGUAGAGCACUACCUUGACACGGUAGGGGUCGCCGGUUCGAACCCGGCCGCGCCUACAA